CCUACGGGGGGCAGCAGUGAGGAAUAUUGGUCAAUGGCCGGAAGGCUGAACCAGCCAAGCCGCGUGAGGGAGGAAGGCGCAGAGCGUCGCAGACCUCUUUUGCCGGGGGACAAAAUGCCGGACUCGUACGGUCCUGAGGGUACCCGGUGAAAAAGCAUCGGCUAACUCCGUGCCAGCAGCCGCGGUAAUACGGAGGAUGCGAGCGUUAUCCGGAUUCAUUGGGUUAAAGGGGUGCGCAGGCGGGCCUUUAGGCCGGCGGGUAAAUCGCGGGGCUAAACCCCGAAGAGCCGUCGGAACUGGGGGCCGUGAGUGCAGCAGAGGCAGGCGGAAUGCGUGGUGUAGCGGUGAAAUGCGUAGAUAUCGCGAAGAACCCCGAUGGCGAAGGCAGCGUGCUGGGCCGUAACUGACGCUGAGGCACGAAAGCGCGGGGAUCGAACAGGAUUAGAUACCCGAGUAGUC
rnacentral:rRNA from 1 species